GAUGAACGCUAGCGGCAGGCCUAAUACAUGCAAGUCGGACGGGAUUGAGGAGCUUGCUUCUCAUGAGAGUGGCGCACGGGUGCGUAACACGUAUGUAACCUACCUUAGUCAGGGGGAUAGCCUCUCGAAAGAGAGAUUAACACCGCAUAACAUUAUGAUAUGGCAUCAUAUUAUAAUCAAAUAUUUAUAGGACUAAGAUGGGCAUGCGGAACAUUGGCUAGUUGGUAAGGUAACGGCUUACCAAGGCUACGAUGUUUAGGGGAUCUGAGAGGAUGACCCCCCACACUGGAACUGAGACACGGACCAGACUCCUACGGGAGGCAGCAGUAAGGAAUAUUGGUCAAUGGACGCAAGUCUGAACCAGCCAUGCCGCGUGCAGGAAGACGGCCCUACGGGUUGUAAACUGCUUUUGUACCGGAAUAAACCUUUGUAUGUAUACGAAGCUGAAUGUACGGUAAGAAUAAGGAUCGGCUAACUCCGUGCCAGCCGCCGCCGUAA
rnacentral:rRNA from 1 species